AUUAUAGGAUUCACGGAGAAAUUUUGGUCAAUUCCGCUAAAAUUGGGUAGCUCUCAAAAUAACAACCAGUAAUUGGAAAUAUUACAAUCUGUUGUGAAUUUAAAGCUUAAAAUGACCAGGGGGAUAGAUGUUUUACUGCUAUAGUGAAGGCGAGGGCGUGUGAACUUUCUAAUUCUCUAAACGACGCCGUUAAGUGACGUAUUGAAGCGAUGCUUGUCAGAAAGGGUGCAGGAUGAGGAAGCCGUGCUGCUGCAAGAUGCAUCUCACUGGGUCGAUCCCAUGCCCUGCCUCCUGCUGUCGUCGUGGAGAUCUUGAGUCUGUCCCCUCGACCUCAGAGCUCAACCCACCCGCCCAAACCAUGACUGGUUAUCCAUCUGGGGACCUGCUGGUUCUCCUCUUGCAUGCAGGGUCACCUCUGCUCUCUGCUUCUUCGUGUCCACCAGCAGGUCCAGUAUGACAUUAAAGAUGCUCACAGUACAGCUGUUA